rnacentral:rRNA from 1 species
AGAGUUUGAUCCUGGCUCAGGAUGAACGCUGGCGGCGUGCUUAACACAUGCAAGUCGAACGAAGAUACUUAAAAUGAGAGCUUCGGCAGGAAUUUUAUUUAUCUUAGUGGCGGACGGGUGAGUAACGUGUGGGCAACCUGCCCUAUACUGGGGAAUAAUCACUGGAAACGGUGACUAAUACCGCAUGUCAUUACGGAAGGGCAUCCUUCUGUAAGAAAAGGAGUAAUUCGGUAUAGGAUGGGCCCGCAUCUGAUUAGCUAGUUGGUGAGAUAACAGCCCACCAAGGCGACGAUCAGUAGCCGACCUGAGAGGGUGAUCGGCCACAUUGGGACUGAGACACGGCCCAAACUCCUACGGGAGGCAGCAGUGGGGAAUAUUGCACAAUGGGGGAAACCCUGAUGCAGCGACGCCGCGUGAGUGAAGAAGUAUUUCGGUAUGUAAAGCUCUAUCAGCAGGGAAGAAAAUGACGGUACCUGACUAAGAAGCCCCGGCUAACUACGUGCCAGCAGCCGCGGUAAUACGUAGGGGGCAAGCGUUAUCCGGAUUUACUGGGUGUAAAGGGAGCGUAGACGGCUGUGCAAGUCUGAAGUGAAAGGCAUGGGCUCAACCUGUGGACUGCUUUGGAAACUGUGCAGCUAGAGUGUCGGAGAGGUAAGUGGAAUUCCUAGUGUAGCGGUGAAAUGCGUAGAUAUUAGGAGGAACACCAGUGGCGAAGGCGGCUUACUGGACGAUUACUGACGCUGAGGCUCGAAAGCGUGGGGAGCAAACAGGAUUAGAUACCCUGGUAGUCCACGCCGUAAACGAUGAUUACUAGGUGUUGGAGGAUUGACCCCUUCAGUGCCGCAGUUAACACAAUAAGUAAUCCACCUGGGGAGUACGACCGCAAGGUUGAAACUCAAAGGAAUUGACGGGGGCCCGCACAAGCGGUGGAGCAUGUGGUUUAAUUCGAAGCAACGCGAAGAACCUUACCAAGGCUUGACAUCCCGAUGACCGCUCUAGAGAUAGAGUUUCUCUUCGGAGCAUCGGUGACAGGUGGUGCAUGGUUGUCGUCAGCUCGUGUCGUGAGAUGUUGGGUUAAGUCC